AGAGUUUGAUCCUGGCUCAGAUUGAACGCUGGCGGCAUGCCUUACACAUGCAAGUCGAACGGUAACGCGGGGCAACCUGGCGACGAGUGGCGAACGGGUGAGUAACGCAUCGGAACGUGCCCAGUAGUGGGGGAUAGCCCGGCGAAAGCCGGAUUAAUACCGCAUACGACCUACGGGUGAAAGCGGGGGACCGUAAGGCCUCGCGCUAUUGGAGCGGCCGAUGUCAGAUUAGGUAGUUGGUGGGGUAAAAGCCUACCAAGCCGACGAUCUGUAGCUGGUCUGAGAGGACGACCAGCCACACUGGGACUGAGACACGGCCCAGACUCCUACGGGAGGCAGCAGUGGGGAAUUUUGGACAAUGGGCGCAAGCCUGAUCCAGCCAUGCCGCGUGCGGGAUGAAGGCCUUCGGGUUGUAAACCGCUUUUGUCAGGGAAGAAACGCUCCGGGCCAAUACCCUGGGGUAAUGACGGUACCUGAAGAAAAGCACCGGCUAACUACGUGCCAGCAGCCGCGGUAAUACGUAGGGUGCAAGCGUUAAUCGGAAUUACUGGGCGUANAGCGUGCGC
rnacentral:rRNA from 1 species